AUGCGGCUGGUCGACGAGGUGCGGCACAGCGCGCUCUCGCUGCGCAUGGUGCCGAUCGGCACGACCCUGCGGCGCUUCGAGCGCGUGGUGCGCG
rnacentral:tRNA from 1 species